GAGGGAAGGGGAGAGUGAAUCGCAUGUGAAUGAAUGCUCAUUUUCUCUCAGUUACCAGGACGACAAAAAUAGAUCAGCAAAAUCAGAUCAAGAGUCAUCAACGAAAAAGAUUUCUCUGAGUCAGACUUCUUCCCUGGAAGCUGUGAACUUUAUCCUCCAGCAGCCAUUAAUCUAAUAUUAAGCCCCUUAACCUUCCUAAUUGUUCUCUUUCAGCAUCGGCUGGUUUCAUAUUAACCUUUCAAUCUUUCCUAUAAUGCAGUCACCUCCAACUCCAGCCAGACCUGGUCCAGGUGCUCCUGUCGGCCCCGUCCUUUUCCUCUCCUGGCUGUGUGUCCCCCUUUCUACCAGCCUCUAUGCCCUUUCUUUCUUUCUUUUCUGUCUUCCUUUCUUUUUCCUCCUUUUCUUUCUCUCUUUCCCUUCCUCCCUCCCUUUCUUUCUUCCUCUCUCCCUCCCUCUCUCUCUUCCUCCCUCCCUCCCUUCCCUCCUUCCUUUCCUGUGAAGCGGCCAUCUGGCAUGGUGUCUGACUCCUGGAUCUGGGCUGACAGAGCAUAAGGAACGUAUUUUGCAAACGGGCUGUGAUGGCUCCUCUAUUAUUCCAGACGAGGCUGUCAGUGGGAGACCACAGCUACCGGCCAGUCAGGGCUGAUCAGCCCCAGGCUAUUUCUGUGACUCUGGUGUUUGAGUUUUGUUUUUCCUCUCUCCUGGGAAGAACUCAUUGAGAUUAUUUCUUUGGAAAAGACCAAGCACGUCACCCAGCUGCUCAAGGAACAUGUGGAAGCUGGCUGUCUCGGGUUCCCCCUUGUGGCCCAUGAGGGCUGAGGGCCACUGGGCUCUAAAGCUGGACUGUGGUUCUGUCUCCAGAGAGGCCAGCUCAGAAGGAGCCCUCUGUGGCCGCCACACAGCCCGAGCUUGAAUUCUGGCGUCUCCUUCGAGCAGUGAGUGACUCCUUGAGUAACGGUAAUAAGUGUGAACCGUGAGCGCUGGGGGAAGGUCUUCUGUCCCCCGGGUGAUGCCACUGGGGCACUUCCUCUUCUCUUUUACAGUCAGGGUAGAGCUAGAAGGAACCGCAGCAUCACUCUCCGAAUCCUCCAUCCACGGGGACCAGAGGCCUUGCCUCAAGCUGGGGCUGUGGAAGGGCUGAGACUGGUGAGGGGCCUUCACCACACCUACUCUGGGAAGGGCAGGGACAAGCUUCCCAACAGGCACUGCGCUGACAAGGCUGGGGCAAGGGCGUGUCCCCGACUGAGGCCAUGGACCAAAGCCAGCUCUUCCACGGCCCCCCUGCCAGGGGCAUCCAGGUUUGGUGUUUGUUUUGGGCCUUUGCCUGGUGAGGACGCCCUGCCAGCACCUCCUCAGGCCUCAGGGCGCACCUCCGCGCCAAAUGAAAGCAGCUCUGAGGGUGGGAAAAGGCAGGCCCCUUGCACAUCCGGGUCCUCUCUCUCAGCUCGGCAUGUGCCCACACACAGCCCACCCCCUGUCCCCACAGCAGACCCACUUUCUCUGGUGUGUCAGGCUUCCCAGGCACAGGGCCCCUUUCCAUAAGCGGACCAGCCCUGGGCUGCGUGCUGGGGCGAGCCGCACUCUCGCUGCUGGGCCCAGCGUGCCUUCCCCGGGCAGCUCUGGCCUGCGUGCCCGGGGCUUCCUGCAGAGAGUCUCCGGAAAGUGGCGUCCAGCUCCAAGGUUGAUUCUCCCCUGGAGGCGCCCUGACCUCUGCGCCCUUCUCACCUGAGUGGGAUACUUCUACCAGUUUACUCACACCUUGGGGGACUGGAGGGCAGGUUCCAGAAAAAGGAGGUUGGGACCCCCAAACCAACAUUGCCUCCUUCACCCUGUGGCCCAGCACAGCUCGACUUGCUUACAGCCACACACAGCAAGAGGGGACUUCACCGGCCCUGCACUCCCAGGCUCUACGAGACGUUGCCCAUUGGACAAAGGGAAGGCCCCACAUCUACACCUCAUGUUUUUAACACCGACUGAGCACCUUCUACGUGGCGAUCACAGGGCCAGGCAUCAGGAAUCAAGACAGAUCUUCGUCUAGAGACACUUGAGGCUGUCGUGGUGGCGGUGAUGAUCUAAGAGACCACAGGUGGGGCUGUGACCGGGACGGGAAGAGGAGGCCCUCCCCUGAGGGUCUGAAAAUCCUUCUCGUGAAGGGUGUGUCCGUCAAGAAGCAGAUGUGAAGGCAGCAGGGGGAGUUCCAGCCAUACCACCCGCAGUGGCCCACGGGAAAAUGGGGAGGUAAGCUCACCUACUCAGACCACGAAAGCACGGGCAGAAAGCUUCCCCUUAAUCUGUGGUCCUUAAACUUGAAUGUGAAAUCAGAAUCACCUGGAGACUUAUUAAACAGAUGGCUGGUUAGCUUCCGGUUCAGUGGCCCCGGCUUCGCUGUGCUAACAAGUUCCAAUGAUGCCGAUGAAGCCCCUGGCCAGGGACUCGUGUGCUGGGAACCACGGCUCCAGACCGAUCACAUAAGACGAUCUGGACCAUGGAAGUGAUGAGGGCAUGAGACCAAUUCCAUUAUAAUAGCCAUCUUUAUUUGUAAAAAUCCAGAUAUAAAAUGUAUUCUUUCAGUCUUUCCGAGUUUUCCUUUUUACAAAAACAACAAGGCACAUAAAAA